rnacentral:sRNA from 1 species
UUAGGCAUAGGCUUGGGCUUGCGCUUGGGCUUGGGCUUAGGCUUAGGCAUAGG